GGAGGAAGCUGACAGCCAAGUGCCGCACCCUGGACUGGUUUUAAGAGUGCACGCCUGGCUCUCUCUGCCUGAAUUAAAAUGCGCGUGGAGAAAAGUGAGCACAAAGCAAGCUGCACGCCGCACCACUGUUACCGAACGCCCUUAAUAAGAGGAAGGUUGUUGUUUGUACGAACACAAUGCAGGCUCCACAAGUGGAACAAGGAUGAUUUCUCUCAGCCUGUCAUAGAGCAUUUA